UGAUGAUGAUGAGGGCAGCUAUUCAACAUUGAUUUAAACCUGUCCCAAGCUUGGUACAAGUUUUCUCCCACUUUCUGCCUAAAGCUCAAAAUGUCACUCCUCAACCU
rfam:Solanum tuberosum cultivar DM 1-3 516 R44 scf00043_82, whole genome shotgun sequence.